rnacentral:rRNA from 1 species
GACGAACGCUGGCGGCGUGCUUAACACAUGCAAGUCGAACGGAAAGGCCUCUUUCGGGGGGUACUCGAGUGGCGAACGGGUGAGUAACACGUGAGUAACCUGCCCUUGACUUUGGGAUAACUUCAGGAAACUGGGGCUAAUACCGGAUAGGAGCUCCUGCUGCAUGGUGGGGGUUGGAAAGUUUCGGCGGUUGGGGAUGGACUCGCGGCUUAUCAGCUUGUUGGUGAGGUAGUGGCUUACCAAGGCUUUGACGGGUAGCCGGCCUGAGAGGGUGACCGGCCACAUUGGGACUGAGAUACGGACCAGACUCCUACGGGAGGCAGCAGUGGGGAAUAUUGCACAAUGGGUGGAAGCCUGAUGCAGCAACGCCGUGUGCGGGAUGACGGCCUUCGGGUUGUAAACCGCUUUCGCUCAUGACGAAGCUUUGUGUGACGGUAGUGGGUAAAGAAGCACCGGCUAACUACGUG